rnacentral:tRNA from 1 species
GACAACAUGGCCGAGCGGUUAAGGCGAUUGACUAGAAUCUUCUCUAAGACCGUCCAGUGUCUAUCAUCAAUUGGAGUUUCUCCGCGCAGGUUCAAAUCCUGCUGUUGUCG